rnacentral:rRNA from 1 species
UACGUAGGGUGCAAGCGUUAAUCGGAAUUACUGGGCGUAAAGCGUGCGCAGGCGGUUAUGUAAGACAGAUGUGAAAUCCCCGGGCUCAACCUGGGAACUGCAUUUGUGACUGCAUAGCUAGAGUACGGUAGAGGGGAUGGAAUUCCGCGUGUAGCAGUGAAAUGCGUAGAUAUGCGGAGGAACACCGAUGGCGAAGGCAAUCCCCUGGACCUGUACUGACGCUCAUGCACGAAAGCGUGGGGAGCAAACGAGG